AUGUGUCCCAGCCACGGGGGAAAUCGGGAGUGCCCUGAGGGGGCUAAGAGCCCCCAUGUCCAAGCCCGGUGGCCCCCAGGCUGGGGUGCACACCGGACACGUCGGGAGAUGGGACACAGGAAGCGGGGAGGGUGUGCAGCAAAGGAGACGAGGCCAACACCUCACCACAAGCGUGAACACAAACCCCAGAGGACGGAGCAGCACUGCACAGGCCCACCCGCAGCCGUGGUGCUGAAGGGUGCUCGGGCUGCUGGGCCCCUGGCCGGAUGUGGACCUGGUCCCAUCCUCUUUCUGCCACGGCUAAUACAGGACUUACACCAUGUGUGGGCCUCACCCCGUGUGCAGGGACUCAGUCUGGGUGCGAGACUCAGUGCGUGUGCGGGGCUCACCCUGUGUGCGGACUUCUUGGUCCUCUGGUGGUUUGGUCUUCAGCGCCCUUGCCUGUGGCUUCCUCAGGUGCCGUCAGACCGAGGUGUCCGUGCUGCGGGCCCCGUGGACCAGUGCUGUGCCUGUGGGCUGGAGGCUGUGCUCGCUGCUUUCCUCAGCGUACAGGUCUUUCUGAGUGGGACGCGCUCCUCCCAACGGAAACCUCUGGACACCGCCUGGCUCGUCGUCAGCCCUUGGUGACGGGAAGAGGGUAUCGAUUAUUAUCGUUAACGAUGGCUAUUUCCUCAAACUGGCUAUUUCCAUUUACCAUCGGGGCCUCGGCGGAUCCUUAGAACCUGUAAGUGGAGCGCCACCGGCUCCUAUUUAGAGUAAAGGACACCUGGAGGCGGCUGGGGAUGGGUGUGGCCAAGGACCCGUGGUCCGGGGUGCAGGGGGCGGCCCCCGCCCUAUCUUCUCCGCUGCUGGGUGUGGAGGGUGGGGGUCGGGCACCCAGAGAUGUGGUAAAUGAAGCCUCUGCGCCUCCCUCCGAGCAGCCGCACAGUCUGGGAGCCGCCGGACCCAUUGGCCAUUUACUGUUAAAUUACUUUAAUUUAAAUAAAGUGCAAACUUAAGCUCUGUGGUCA
rnacentral:lncRNA from 12 species